GGGGCCGUAGCUCAGCUGGGAGAGCGCUUGAAUGGCAUUCAAGAGGUCAGGAGUUCGAUCCUCCUCGGCUCCA
rnacentral:tRNA from 2 species